rnacentral:rRNA from 1 species
AUUGAACGCUGGCGGCAGGCCUAACACAUGCAAGUCGAACGAGUGGCGGACGUGUGAGUAAUGUCUGGGACACUGCCUGAUGGAUGGGGAUAACUACUGGAAACGGUAGCUAAUACCGCAUACCAUCAGGUGUUCCCAGAUGGGAUUGGCUUGUUGGUGGGGUAACGGCUCACCAAGGCGACGAUCCCUAGCUGGGCUGAGAGGAUGACCAGACACACUGGAACUGAGAAACGGUACAGACUCCUACGGGAGGAAGCAGGGGGGAAUAUGGCACAAUGGGAGCAAGCGUGAUGCAGCCAUGCAGCGUGUAUGAAGAAGGCCUUCGGGUUGUAAAGUACUGUAAGCGGGGAGGCGUUACCUGCAGAAGAAGCACCGGCUAACUACGUGCCAGCAGCCGCGGUAAUAC